rnacentral:rRNA from 2 species
AGAGUUUGAUCCUGGCUCAGAACGUACGCUGGCGGCACGCCUAACACAUGCAAGUCGAACGCAGUAGCAAUACUGAGUGGCAAACGGGUGAGUAUAAUGUGGGAAUCUGCCUUUUGGUUUGGAAUAACACGAGGAAACUUGUGCUAAUACCGGAUAAGCCUUCACAGGGAAAGUUUUAACGCCAAAAGAUGAGCCCGCACUUGAUUAGCUAGUUGGUGAGGUAAUUGCUCACCAAGGCUACGAUCAAUAGCUGUUCUUAGAGGAAGACCAGCCACAUUGGGACUGAGACACGGCCCAAACUCCUACGGGAGGCAGCAGUGGGGAAUCUUGCACAAUGGGGGAAACCCUGAUGCAGCGAUGCCGCGUGAGUGAAGAAGGCCUUUGGGUUGUAAAACUCUUUCGUCGGGGAAGAAAAUGACUGUACCCGAAUAAGAAGGUCCGGCUAACUUCGUGCCAGCAGCCGCGGUAAUACGAAGGGACCUAGCGUAGUUCGGAAUUACUGGGCUUAAAGAGUUCGUAGGUGGUUGAAAAAGUUAGUGGUGAAAUCCCAGAGCUUAACUCUGGAACUGCCAUUAAAACUUUUCAGCUAGAGUAUGAUAGAGGAAAGCAGAAUUUCUAGUGUAGAGGUGAAAUUCGUAGAUAUUAGAAAGAAUACCAAUUGCGAAGGCAGCUUUCUGGAUCAUUACUGACACUGAGGAACGAAAGCAUGGGUAGCGAAGAGGAUUAGAUACCCUCGUAGUCCAUGCCGUAAACGAUGUGUGUUAGACGUUGGAAAUUUAUUUUCAGUGUCGCAGGGAAACCGAUAAACACACCGCCUGGGGAGUACGACCGCAAGGUUAAAACUCAAAUGAAUUGACGGGGACCCGCACAAGUAGUGGAGCAUGUGGUUUAAUUCGAAGAUACGCGCAGAACCUUACCAACACUUGACAUGUUCGUCGCGACUCUAAGAGAUUAGAGUUUUCGGUUCGGCCGGACGAAACACAGGUGCUGCAUGGCUGUCGUCAGCUCGUGUCGUGAGAUGUUGGGUUAAGUCCCGCAACGAGCGCAACCCUCACUUUUAGUUGCCAUCAUUAAGUUGGGCACUCUGAAAGAACUGCCAGUGAUAAGCUGGAGGAAGGUGGGGAUGACGUCAAGUCCUCAUGGCCCUUACGUGUUGGGCUACACACGUGCUACAAUGGUAUCUACAACAGGAAGCAAGACUGCGAAGUUAAGCAAAUCCCUAAAAGAUACCUCAGUUCGGAUUGCACUCUGCAACUCGAGUGCAUGAAGCUGGAAUUACUAGUAAUCGUGGAUCAGCGUGCCACGGUGAAUGCGUUCCCGGGUCUUGUACACACCGCCCGUCACACCAUGGGAGUUGGUUCUACCUUAAGGCAAGGUUUUAAACCCUUGACCACGGUAUAGUCAGCGACUGGGGUGAAGUCGUAACAAGGUAACC